UUUCAAUAGGCCUAGCCGAUCUGUUUCGCAAAUCCUUUCUCCUUCCCUCCGUCCAGACCCCCAGCUUCUCACUCUGCCCGCCGUGGAUAAUCGCCCUGCGCUGCUGGUGCAUGAGCAGAUGUGUCUGGGCCAGAAGGACCCAGAGCCCUUACAGAAUACAGGGGAAAAAGAGCUCAGUCAGGACAAUGAGCAGUUUCAAGAAUUGCAGACUGACAUCAAAGAGUUUGUCAUAGUCACUUUUCUCAUAGAGAUGAUUGAAUAUGACCAGGAGGACCCCACUCAGCCUUCACAUCUUUACCAAGCCCCAAUUGAGGAAAAUGUAGAGAUGGAUACACUACACAGCGACUCGUAUGAACAGAUUGAUACAGGGUCUGAUGGAGAGGGCAAUGUAGAAUCAGAACCAACAACCAGAAACUACUGUUUUGCAGCUCUGGAUGUAAGCUGUGAAAGGAUGGAGAAUGGAGGAGAAAGAUCCCAUCAGAAGUCAACUGCUCAAGGUCAUUCGGGUCCACGUUGUAAGGUUAGCGUGAGUGACGACGAUGAGGCAUUCGAGAGACAAAUAACUGUCCUGGAGAAAGAAAACAGAAGGCUGGAGAAGGACCAGUAUCAGCACCAGUAUUGGAACCGAGCAUCCAAAACAGACUGACAUUGGAGGAGGGAUAAUGGUUUCAGAGGCAGCGCUCCACUACAUUGAUCAUUCACACCACCAUAAGCUUACCAAUGGCCUUCUGACGCUGUUGUUCUCAAACGAGGAGCUGGCAGAGAGCAGCCUCAGUGGAAAGAGGUGUAAUGCUCACAAGAAUGAUAAUGUCAAGAAGGGCCUUGACAUCAGACGCCUUGAGCCCAUUGUUGGAUGUCAUGGAGAAAUGUGUUGUCGGAAAAAAAGAUGUAUUCACAAUUAUCGGCGUAAACUCAAUUAUGAAGACAAGCUGUCAAAAGGACUUAUUUCAAGGAGGAGGAAGAAAUAGAUAUCAUUGAACUACUGCCCAUCAUAUAUAUAUGUAUGUAUGUACAGUGGGGCAAAAAAGUAUUUAGUCAGCCACCACUUGUGCAAGUU